GACGAACGCUGGCGGCGUGCCUAACACAUGCAAGUCGAACGGAAAGGCCAUGCUCUUGCGGGGCGCUUGUGUGGCGCACGGGUGUGUAACACGUGAGUAUCCUGCCCUUGACUUUGGGAUAACUUCACGAAACUCGGGCUAUUAUCGGAUAGGAGCUCCUGCUGCAUGUUGGGCGUUGGACAGUUUCGGCGGUUGUGGAUGGACUGGAAGGUUAUCAGCUUGUUGGUGAGGUAGUGAUAUACCAAGGCUACGACGGAUAGCCCACCUGGGCGGGGAACCGGCGACAAUGAUACUGAGAGACGGACCAGACGCGUACGGGAGGCAGCAGGGGAGAAUAUGGCACAAUAGGCGGAAGCCUGAUGCAGCGGCGCCACGUGCGGAAAAACGUCCUACGAGUGGAGAACCGAUUUCUCCUGUGACGAAGCGUGAGUGACGGUAAUUAGUAAAAAAGCACCGGCUAACUACGUG
rnacentral:rRNA from 1 species